CCCUCCCUCUUUAAUGAGGGAUGCAAAAUAAAAAAGUGAAGUAAGGGUGCCCUGUGGGUAUUUGAUCUUGCUCCCUGCCCCUUUUUUUCAUGGAAAAAGGAAAUAUCAAUUUCUCCAUUCAUUGAACCCUAGUUCGGGACUGACGGGGCUCGAACCCGCAGCUUCCGCCUUGACAGGGCGGUGCUCUGACCAAUUGAACUACAAUCCCCGCGGGGUGUAUGGCAUACCCAUUCUUAAAUAGAACCAUAAGAAGAUUCGAUUCGUCUUUCGUACUCUAAGAAAUAGACGAAUCAUAUACUACAUACCCACAUAUUAUAUUAUACGUGGGUAUAGUGAGAGUGACAUAACUAGUAUGUCGUGAUUUUUUAUCACUAAAAAUGGAUAAUAAUCCAGCCUUCAAUAAGAAAAACUCUUUUGUUUGUAAGAAAGGAAUGAGAGAGAUAUGGAUUAGAAAAAAAAAAUUUCCCUUUUUUCUUUAUCUUUUAUUUCUAUAGAUCAGACAUUUUAUUUUAUGGAAGAAAAACAAAAGGAUUUAGUUCAUACUCACGAAGCCCUAGAUUUUUGGUUUGGGCCGAGCUGGAUUUGAACCAGCGUAGACAUUGUCAACGAAUUUACAGUCCGUCCCCAUUAACCACUCGGGCAUCGACCCAGGAAGAAUUUAUUCUAGGGUUUUUGCUAAUCUAUGAUUAACCUCCUUUCAUAAUACUCCCUACCCCCAGGGGAAGUCGAAUCCCCGCUGCCUCCUUGAAAGAGAGAUGUCCUGAACCACUAGACGAUAGGGGCAUCACUAGACGAUAGGGCCAUAUACAACCGCUCGUGAUUAUACUAUAAUCAUAGUAUGAGCAGUUUUUUGGAAUUGUCAAUAUACUCGAAAAGUAUAAAUAGAUCCAAAGCAAAGAGUUUUUCCAACUUUUUUGUUUGUAAGAAAGGAAUGAGAGAGAUAUGGAUUAGAAAAAAAAUUUCCCUUUUUUCUUUAUCUUUUAUUUCUAUAGAUCAGACAUUUUAUUUUAUGGAAGAAAAACAAAUGGAAGAAAAACAAAAGGAUUUAGUUCAUAUUCAUGAAGCCCUAGAUUUUUGGUUUGGGCCGAGCUGGAUUUGAACCAGCGUAGACAUUGUCAACGAAUUUACAGUCCGUCCCCAUUAACCACUCGGGCAUCGACCCAGGAAGAAUUUAUUCUAGGGUUUUUGCUAAUCUAUGAUUAACCUCCUUUCAUAAUACUCCCUACCCCCAGGGGAAGUCGAAUCCCCGCUGCCUCCUUGAAAGAGAGAUGUCAUGAACCACUAGACGAUAGGGGCAUCACUAGACGAUAGGGCCAUAUACAACCGCUCGUGAUUAUACUAUAAUCAUAGUAUGAGCAGUUUUUUGGAAUUGUCAAUAUACUCGAAAAGUAUAAAUAGAUCCAAAGCAAAGAGUUUUUCCAACUUUUCUGUUAUGUUUUCAUCUAGGAUUUUUUUUAGUUGAUCGUUAUAGAUUAAUUCUCCGUGCUUCAUUUAGUGUUCAGACCAAAAAUGCAUCCAUCCCGCACUAAGUCAUAAAAUUCUCUAAAAAUAUAGAGAAAGUUUCAAAAACAAAGAACAAAAGUGAAUCAAUUUAGUAGAAAAGUACUCUAUCAGAUUCGAACCAACGACUUACGUCUUAGCACGAGAUUACUCUACCACUAAUUUAAAAAGCCCUUUAUCGGAUUUGAACCGAUGACUUAUGCCUUACCAUGGCAUUACUCUACCACUGAGUUAAAAGGGCUUUUUAUUUAAUUCAAAAAUUAGCCACUUGGAUUUCCCAUUAUGGGUCUACUGCAUAAUGUACAUAUUAUAUAUAUAAUAUAUAGAGAUAGAGAGAGAGACAUUAUGUAGAGAUUGUAUAUGUAUAUAUCGAUAUCUUGAGAGCUCAAAAUAAAAUUAAUAAAAAAAAACAUACCCUACAUAACAUAUCCAACUCUUCUUGGUUCAGGGUUUUCCGUUUCCGAAGACUAGUAAAAUAGGCGGAUUCUGGAACCCCAAGGAUUCAACGGUAUAUGGAUAUGGAAAAUAUAAGAUUUCCGAUCCUAGCGGGAAAAGGCGGGGAACAGAUACCCAAUAGGAUAUAGGAUCCUUGGGAGGAACUUUUGGUAAUGGCCUUGAUCCUCUAUGCUAUUUUUUAUG
rnacentral:lncRNA from 1 species